CUCUCAUGUCAGCUCUUUUUUCUUCCAUUGUUGAUGCGUCCAGGCUUUUGUUGAGUGGCUUUGUUAGGAUCAAUGAACUGUUAGCAUGGUGGCAUUAUUAGCAACAGAGGGGAGGAAGAUUGAGGAUGAAUUACGGGGUUGGGUGUGCUGCUUACCAGGUCGGGGAUGUUCUACCAGCAGUGCUCGCCGCAGUUGUUGUGGAUAUAGAUGAGCCAUAGAGGUAAUGUUUUCUCUCAUGGUACCUUGACCUUUUCCAUUAUAAACACAGAACAUAUGAACAAUUCAGCAUUGUACUGAACAUCAAUUAGCUCACAAGAUGGCAUACAAGGUAGUUACUGAGUCUGAGUGUAGAUUCCCAGAUUAGCCUAAUGCUCUGUACCAUGAAAGAUAGCAGGUCAGAAGCAAGUGUUUGUGUUUUGGUUUUUCUUCUCAGCAAAAAAAUGGUUUCGGUGUUUCAUAACUAAUUUGAUUCUCAUAAAGCUUUUCAGAACUGCUCUUUUUGGUGUUCGGCUCUUACUGUUACUCGACUACAAAUGCAGAUACUAAUUUUUGGCCUCAUCAUUUAAGGUUUGUCUCAACUAAUUAGGAAAACCAAAGUAUAUAGUGUUAUGCUAUAG
rnacentral:lncRNA from 1 species